rnacentral:lncRNA from 10 species
CAGGCCUGAGCUCCGGAUAUUUCUCCUGUUCUGGAGACAGUGAGAAGUGAAAGAGAAAUGGCUGCCCCUGCACCACUUACCGCGAAGGAGGCUCAAGGCUGGGGGGCCCCUCUGCCUUCCAGUGACCGCCCGUGUCACAUCCUGACCCGCUCAGCAGGAGAACACAGCAGGUCCCUCCGACCGCAGUCGGCCUCUCCAGCCUGCCAUGCCUCUGGCCAUGAGGCGACCCGCUGGAGUGAUGGAUUCCCGUCACUACCACCCACAGGGCGAGGGGGUGCAUUGGUCUGCUUGGGCCGCUGUAACAAAAUGCCACAGCCUGGAUGAGUGACUGACAUUGCUUCCCCACCGUUCUGGAGGCUGGAGGCCCGAGAUCGAGGUCCCUGACACUAUUUCAGUGAUGCCAGAGCCCAGGAGGAGUCGACCAAGCCCCAGCGUGGCCAUAAGCACCUUCGCAGGACCACGGAGUCGCUGCAGGUGUUCAGCCCUGUUGAGAGUGGGAGUCGGUGUCGAUGGUCACAGCUCAGUAACUCAUCGUCACCAGCGAGUACCACAGAGCAGACACAACUGCACUUCUCUGUAGAGCCUCCAGUCGAUACUGAGAGCCACUGGGGCGUCUGACACCCAAGGGUGCAGACAUUCACUCCAAGUCCAGAGACCGCGCCCUUUCUAAGGCCCUGUCUCACAGUCGCCCCGUGCUCAUUGUGCCGGAUGUUUCCACAGCCACAGAGACGGUGAGGUGCAGCCUAGUGCAUAUGACUGACAGAAACGUGAAGCCACAGUGGACGCCUGGAUGAGACACAGAUCACCUUCCAAAUCUGAGUGUGGCCUUGGGACCAACCAGGCAGCCAGGGAGAAGGCAGAGACCAGAGGGAACCCAGGUGCCCUCAAUCCCAGCCUCCUCUAUCCCAGCCUCCCAAUCCCAGCCUCCCCAAUCCCAGCCUCCUAAUCCCAGCCUCCUCCAUCCCAGGACCCCCACUCCCAGCCUCCCGAUCCCAGCUUCUCUGAUCCCAGCCUCCCCUAAAA